GUCUACGGCCAUACCACCCUGAACACGCCCUAUCUCGUCUGGUCUUAGAAGCUAGGCAGGGUCGGGCAUUGUUAGUACUUGGAUGAAAGACAGAUCUUCAGAAAAGACUGUUCAGAGACA
rnacentral:rRNA from 1 species